rnacentral:rRNA from 1 species
ACGCUCGACACCUACGGGAGGCAGCAGUGGGGAAUAUUGCACAAUGGGGGAAACCCUGAUGCAGCGACGCCGCGUGAGCGAAGAAGUAUUUCGGUAUGUAAAGCUCUAUCAGCAGGGAANAAGAAAGACGGUACCUGACUAAGAAGCCCCGGCUAACUACGUGCUAGCAGCCGCGGUAAUCUGAGCGGGCUGGCAAGGC